GACGAACGCUGGCGGCGUGCUUAACACAUGCAAGUCGAACGGACAGGCCCUGCUUUUGUGGGGUGCUCGAGUGGCGAACGGGUGAGUAACACGUGAGUAACCUGCACUUGACUUUGGGAUAACUUCAGGAAACUGGGGCUAAUACAGGGUAGGAGAUCCUGCUGCAUGGGGGGGGUUGGUAAGUUUCGGCGGUAGGGGCUGGACUGGCGGGUUAUCAGCUUGUUGGUGGGGUAGUGGCUUACCAAGGGUAUGAAGGGUAGCCGGCCUGAGAGGGUGACCGGGGACAAGGGUACUGCGAGAGGGACCAGAAGGGUACGGUCGGCAGUAGUGGAGAAUAUGGCACAAUGGGGGGACGUCAGAUGUAGCGACGCCGGGUGCGUGAUGAUGGCUUUCGGGGUGUAAACAGCUUUGUCAUGUGACGAAGAGGUAGUGACGGUAAUGGGUAAAGAAGCACCGGCUAACUACGUG
rnacentral:rRNA from 1 species